rnacentral:rRNA from 1 species
UGGCCUCUUCGGGGUCCGAGUUGUAAUUUGUAGAGGGUGUUUCGGGUGAGGCGCUGGCCUAAGUUCCUUGGAACAGGGCGUCAUAGAGGGUGAGAAUCCCGUAUGCGGCCGGUGACCGACCUCGUGUGAAACCCCUUCGAUGAGUCGGGUUGUUUGGGAAUGCAGCUCUAAAUGGGUGGUAAAUUUCAUCUAAAGCUAAAUACCGGCCAGAGACCGAUAGCGCACAAGUAGAGUGAUCGAAAGAUGAAAAGCACUUUGGAAAGAGAGUUAAAAAGUACGUGAAAUUGUUGAAAGGGAAGCGCUUGCAACCAGACCUGGGUCCGGGUGAUCAGCCGCCGUUCUCGGCGGUGUACUCGCCCGGUACAGGCCAGCAUCGGUUCGGGCGGUCGGAUAAAGGCCUUGGGAACGUAGCUCCCUUCGGGGAGUGUUAUAGCCCUCGGUGCAAUGCGGUCAGCCUGGACCGAGGACCGCGCUUCGGCUAGGAUGCUGGCGUAAUGGUUGUAAGCGGCCCGUCUUGAAACACGGACCAAGGAGUCUAACAUCUAUGCGAGUGUUUGGGUGUCAAACCCAUGCGCGGAAUGAAAGUGAACGGAGGUGAGAACCCUCAAGGGCGCAUCA